AUUCCAUAAUGUGGACAUCUCCUUUGAAGAUCCUUGUAUCUCUCCCAUUCUUCAUGAAGACUCUCAUCAUCCAUUGGUCAAAAAGAAGUCAUCUCAUUCCUCAAUUU